rnacentral:lncRNA from 1 species
AAAACAGCAAAGCUUCAUGUGGCAGUGAAGGUUUUACAGGCAAUGGGAUACCCAACAGGUUUUGAUGCAGAUAUUGAAUGUAUGAGUUCCGAUGAAAAAUCAGAUAAUGAAAGCAAAAAUGAUACAGUAUCUUCAAACUCAAGCAAUAAUACUGGAAAUUGUACAACUGAGACCUCCAGUACCUUAGAGGUAAGAACUCAGGGUCCUAUCCUCACAGCAAGUGGCAAAAAUCCUGUGAUGGAGCUCAAUGAAAAAAGAAGAGGUCUCAAGUAUGAACUCAUCUCAGAAACUGGUGGAAGCCAUGACAAGCGCUUUGUAAUGGAGAAGUAGAUGGACAGAAAUUCAGAGGUGCAGGUCCAAACAAGAAAGUGGCCAAGGCAAGUGCAGCGCUAGCUGCCCUGGAAAAGCUGUUUUCUGGACCCAAUGCAGCAAAUAAUAAGAAAAAGAAGAUCAUUCCUCAGGCAAAGGGUGUUGUGAAUACGGCAGUAUCUGCAGCAGUCCAGGCAGUUCGAGGCAGAGGAAGAGGAACUCUGACAAGGGGAGCGUUCGUGGGAGCUACAGCAGCUCCUGGAUAUAUAGCUCCAGGUUAUGGAACUCCAUAUGGUUACAGCACAGCUGCCCCUGCAUAUGGUUUGCCCAAGAGAAUGGUUCUGUUACCCGUUAUGAAAUUCCCAACAUAUCCUGUUCCCCACUACUCAUUCUUUUAGCAAAUGACAGAAGCUCAUUCCUAUUGAACA